rnacentral:snRNA from 1 species
CUUCCCAUGUUGGUAUUGCAAUUCAU